UACAGAGGGGGCAAGCGUUGUUCGGAAUUACUGGGCGUAAAGGGCGCGUAGGCGGCCUGCUAAGUCGGACGUGAAAUCCCUCGGCUUAACCGGGGAACUGCGUCCGAUACUGGAUGGCUUGAGAUUGGGAGAGGGAUGCGGAAUUCCAGGUGUAGCGGUGAAAUGCGUAGAUAUCUGGAGGAACACCGGUGGCGAAGGCGGCAUCCUGGACCAACACUGACGCUGAUGAGCGAAAGCCAGGGGAGCAAACGGG
rnacentral:rRNA from 1 species